rnacentral:rRNA from 1 species
GACGAACGCUGGCGGCGUGCUUAACACAUGCAAGUCGAACGGAAAGGCCCUGCUUGCAGGGUACUCGAGUGUCGAACGGGGGAGUAAAACGUGGGUGAUCUGCCCUGCACUUCGUGAUAAGCCUUGGAAACUGGGUCUAAUACCGGAGAGGAGCCAUUUUGAGUGUGAUGGUUGGAAAGUUUUUUCGGUGUGGGAUGAGCUCGCUGCCUAUCAGCUUGUUGGUGGGGUAAUGGCCUACCAAGGCGGCGACGGGUAGCCGGCCUGGGAGGGUGGACGGCCACAAUGGGACUGAGGUACGGCCCAGGCUCCUACGGGGGGCAGCAGUGGGGAAUAUUGGAAAAUGGGGGGAAGGCUGGUGCAGCGACGCCGCGUGGGGGAUGAAGGGCUUCGGGUUGUAAAACCCUUUCGCUAGGGACGAAGCUUUUUGUGACGGUACCUAGAUAAGAAGCACCGGCUAACUACGUG